CAGCCAUGUUGCUUCUGGCACACGGGGGAUAAUCAGACAGGUUGAGGUUGCAAAGCUGACUCUCCCGGCAGCCCACGUUGAAAGUGUUGGGGGCCAGAUGAAAGGCUGGAGGGGAGCAGGAUGGAGAGAGAAGGCUGUUAAUACUGCAGCAGGGUCAGCAGAAGGGAACGUCUGCCUCUAGUUUCAUUGCAAAGCCUUUUUUAGUUAAAAUUGCUGAUAAAGCAGCUCCAAAGUCUCCAGACCAAUAUAUUUGUGCUCACCUUUGGGGCCUGUCCCAGCAACCAGAAAUUAAACUAGACUGCUUGUACCUUGGAUUUGCACCUAUUGCUGCAACCCAGGGAUCAUCUUAUUACAGCAGCCACUGGAGAGG